GUAAUUUUAUUGCCCAUUCUGUUCUGUUGCAGUUUUCUAAUCUGCAUUGUGUCUGAAGGAAAUGAGAAGUAGAAUUUCUCCUUCCUCCAAAGUCCUGUUAAUUUUAAUCCUUUUGCUGGAUUCAUGCUGCAGCCAGGAGUACUGCAAAGUGACAGUGACUGAAAUUAUAGAAAAACUAUCUUAAGAACACGGACAAAUUAAAGCCAACAAGAUGUUAGUGGCACUCUUAGGGAAGUAGCGUCCCCCAGACCCAACUCCUUCAGAGGUUCUCAGGGAAGAAUGCUACGGGAAAAUGUUGAACUGAUAAAGUAAGUGAUUUGCAGUCUCAUUCUCAUAAAAUGACUCUUGUUUGUUCUUGAAGGCUAAAAAAGCUAGAAUAAACUCAAUGGGCUGCAGAGCUAAAAGGCA
rnacentral:lncRNA from 1 species